UGUUUGUGCACGAGUGUUUGGGAAAUUGAAUCGAUUGCAAUGAUUGAACUUCUAUUCAUCUGAAUAGCUUCUCCUGGAUUGCUUCCCGCCAUCUUUUCCGAGGUGGAACGACGAGACUGCAGAUGCAUGUAAAUCAGUCUGCGGGGCUUCGUUGAGAUCGGAAUGAGAGCUGGCAGGGUGGUGACAAAAAUGCCAACGCAAUCUGAAAGGGCACCGAUGAAAGGCAACACAAUUAGUGUCUGGAGGGGGGAGAAAUCGGAGACGAGGAGGACGGGAAUCACACAGCGGUAAUUAAUGCAUAUUAAAAUCAAUAGCAUGUUUGUUUCAAUGAACAGCUGACGAGAGAUGAUGUCAUUAAACGAGUGUUUGUCAGAAGUUAAAAAGCCUUGAGAAAUAAGACAUAUGCGGAUUGAAUUUUGAGCAGGUUUCAUUAAUAGAUAUAUAUUUAUUACUCGUUUCAAUUAAUGGAGUAUUCCAGUACUUUAACAACAUAGAAGAACCUGCUAGCUCUAGACAUUUGAAUGAAUUUGUAGCAAGGUAGCUCAACUUUGCUCUGCCAGGUCUUGCUGGCAGGGAAUUGAGGUGUUUGGUUCCUACAUCAUGGCCUUCAGCACAGAUUUACUCUGACAAAGACAACCUGAGCGACUCCAAAUCGACCGUAGCUUCUCCACCUUCUGCAAGUGAGAUUAUAUGCCACAAUCAUUACAUGGAUGAGGAAGCCAGGCUGUUGAUGAAUACUGACUCUGGGCUAACCGACUGCAUUCAUUCCCAGGAGACCACCUUGUAGAGGCUCUUUCUGGAGAAUGAACACGUCAGAAUGCCAUCGGUGUCAGAGAAGAUGUGCUGUUGGAUGCCAUUUUGGCUUAUAUCUGCUCUGAGAUGUGAGGCGUAGGUGCCUAUUGCAGUUGGAAGCUAAGACAGACCUGCAAAUCAGAGUCCAAUCUGCCAUUUCACAGUGCCAUUAAGAGAAAAACUGAUGCUCCGGGCA